GCAGAUUUGUUUCCACAGAGACAGAAAUGAUGCGACGGGCUUUCAGGCAGCUUUUCUUCUCAGCACGUGGACAGCAGACAGAGACGACAGAAAUGAGACGACGGGCUUUCAGGCAGCUUUUAUUCUCAACAUGUGGACAGCAGACAGCCCAGCCGGGUGGAGUUUGUACCUGCAGAUGAUGCUCUUCAUCUGGCUGUCCUUCUCCUCCUGCUGCCUCCUCAGUCUCUCCUCGCUGUCCUCCAGGCGGUGUUUGUACUCCAGCAGCAGCUUCUGCAUCUGCUGCUCCUGAGCCAGCAGCCGCCGCUCGUACUCCUCCAGACGGCGCCCGGACACCCGCAGCCGCUCCUUCAGCCGCGUGAUCUCCAGCUCGUACUGUCGGUGCAGGAGGGCGGGGUUAGUUUGAUGUGACGCCGCGUCGGGGUGGAGCUCCCACCGUUAAUGAUUUAUUUAUGCUCUGUACCUUUUCAGUGUUCCUGCUCUCCUCCCUGCUCCUCUCUGCUCCCUCCUCCUCAUCCUUCUCCUCGUACUGGCCGUUGUUGAGCACCCAGGCCGCCGUCCUCUCCACCGGGGACAACGCCACCGCCACCGCCUCCACCGGAGACACCACCUGAACACAAACCAGUGACAUCAGAUAUAAAAAUAUUUAAAGCU